GCCUUCGUGGUGUACUGGUCAGCACACUCGGCGCGUAUUCGAGAGGUCUGUGGUUCGAGUCCUGGCGAGGGCA
rnacentral:tRNA from 1 species